rnacentral:rRNA from 1 species
UCUUGGUCAUUUAGAGGAAGUAAAAGUCGUAACAAGGUUUCCGUAGGUGAACCUGCGGAAGGAUCAUUAAAGAAAUUUAAUAAUUUUGAAAAUGGAUUUUUUUGUUUUGGCAAGAGCAUGAGAGCUUUUACUGGGCAAGAAGACAAGAGAUGGAGAGUCCAGCCGGGCCUGCGCUUAAGUGCGCGGUCUUGCUAGGCUUGUAAGUUUCUUUCUUGCUAUUCCAAACGGUGAGAGAUUUCUGUGCUUUUGUUAUAGGACAAUUAAAACCGUUUCAAUACAACACACUGUGGAGUUUUCAUAUCUUUGCAACUUUUUCUUUGGGCAUUCGAGCAAUCGGGGCCCAGAGGUAACAAACACAAACAAUUUUAUCUAUUCAUUAAAUUUUUGUCAAAAACAAGAAUUUUCGUAACUGGAAAUUUUAAAAUAUUAAAAACUUUCAACAACGGAUCUCUUGGUUCUCGCAUCGAUGAAGAACGCAGCGAAAUGCGAUACGUAAUGUGAAUUGCAGGAUUCCGUGAAUCAUCGAAUCUUUGAACGCACAUUGCGCCCCUUGGUAUUCCAGGGGGCAUGCCUGUUUGAGCGUCAUUUCCUUCUCAAACAUUCUGUUUGGUAGUGAGUGAUACUCUUUGGAGUUAACUUGAAAUUGCUGGCCUUUUCAUUGGAUGUUUUUUUUCCAAAGAGAGGUUUCUCUGCGUGCUUGAGGUAUAAUGCAAGUACGGUCGUUUUAGGUUUUACCAACUGCGGCUAAUCUUUUUUUAUACUGAGCGUAUUGGAACGUUAUCGAUAAGAAGAGAGCGUCUAGGCGAACAAUGUUCUUAAAGUUUGACCUCAAAUCAGGUAGGAGUACCCGCUGAACUUAAGCAUAUCAAUAAGCGGAG